rnacentral:rRNA from 1 species
CCGAUCGCUAUUAGAUGAGCCUAUGUUAGAUUAGCUAGUUGGUAGGGUAAAGGCCUACCAAGGCAAUGAUCUAUAGCUGGUCUGAGAGGAUGAUCAGCCACACUGGAACUGAGAUACGGUCCAGACUCCUACGGGAGGCAGCAGUGGGGAAUAUUGGACAAUGGGCGCAAGCCUGAUCCAGCUAUGCCGCGUGAGUGAGGAAGGCCUUAGGGUUGUAAAACUCUUUCAGUAGGGAAGAUAUGACGGUACA